rnacentral:rRNA from 1 species
CGGUAAUUCCAGCUCCAAUAGCGUAUACUAAAGUUGUUGCAGUUAAAAAGCUCGUAGUUGGAUUUCUGUGGGGACGGAGCGGCCGGCCGCAACUUGCGGUUCGAGCUAGCGCUUUCCCUACAUCCUGCCGCGAACCGUGCUACCAUUAGUUUGGUGGCGCCGGGGAUCGGCUCGUUUACUUUGAGAAAAAUAGAGUGUUCAAAGCAGGCCACACGCCUUGAAUAAGUUAGCAUGGAAUAAUAAUAAAGGACUUCGGUUCUAUUUUGUUGGUGUUCGGGACUGAAGUAAUGAUUGAUAGGGACAGUUGGGGCGGUCAGUAUUCCAAAGCGAGAGGUGAAAUUCUUAGACCUUCGGAAGACUAACAGCUGCGAAAGCGUUCCGCAAGGAUGUUCCCUUUGAUCAAGGACGAAAGUUGGGGGAUCGAAGACGAUCAGAUACCGUCGUAGUCUCAACUAUAAACUAUACCAGCUAGGGAUCGGCCAACGUUAAAUUAUCCGACUUGGUCGGCACCUUAUGAGAAAUCAAAGCAUCUGGGUUCCGGGGGGAGUAUGGUCGCAAGGCUGAAACUUAAAGGAAUUGACGGAAGGGCACCACCAGCCGUGGAGCCUGUGGCUUAAUUUGACUCAACACGGGAAAACUUACCAGGUCCAGACAUAGUAAGGAUUGACAGAUUGAUAGCUCUUUCUUGAUUCUGUGGGUGGUGGUGCAUGGCCGUUCUUAGUUGGUGGAGUGAUUUGUCUGGUUAAUUCCGUUAACGAACGAGACCCCAGCCUGCUAAAUAGCGCGGUUGAGCUUUGCUCGGCGCGAGCUUCUUAGAGGGACUAUGAUGCGCGAUAGCACAUGGAAGUUUGGGGCAAUAACAGGUCUGUGAUGCCCUUAGAUGUUCUGGGCCGCACACGGGCUACACUGGCGCCUGCAACGAGCAUAUCAGCUGGCCCGAGAGGGUCUUGGCUAAUCUUUUGAACCGGCGCCGUGCUUGGGAUUGACCAUUGCAAUUGUUGGUCAUGCAACGAGGAAUGCCUUGUAAACGCGAGUCAUCAACUCGCAUUGAAUACGUCCCUGCUCUUUGUACACACCGCCC